GGCAAAGCUGAGAGGCAUCCUCUCCCUUCCUCCACCUCACCCAGCACACACCCUGCCGUCAGAUCCCUGAGCCCAUCCUUCAUCCCUUCACCACAAACUCACCAACCUGCCCACAGUUUCCAAGGCCCGCUUCCCCCGGAAACGUGUGGGCAUGUAGCUCUCCCAGGAGUGUGCCCAGCCCUCCACUCCCUACAGGAGUGCCCACGGGCUUGGCACCCAACCUGCUCUGAUCGCCUGCUCAGCUGCCCCACACUGCCCUGCCCUCCACUCCCAGCACCAUCCCUCACAGAGCCCUGGCAUCACCCAGCUACCCGGGGGCCCAGAUUCAGCCUAGGCCAAAUCCUACAGCCCCCAUGAGCCUCGGACGCCUUCUCCAUACCCGUCAGCCCUGCUUUCAGGUCCCACAGGACAGAUGGGCCCCCUCGCUCCCUGACCCCCACAGCCCUGCCCUCCCCAACCACACAUCCAUCCACCUCUCCACCCCUCUCCAAGCGUAGAAGUGAACAGAGUGAUGACGAUUCAGGGAACCUGGUGGCCAUUUUUAGGGACACAAAUAAAAUAAACCCAAAAGCAGGCGGA
rnacentral:lncRNA from 1 species